rnacentral:rRNA from 1 species
UACGGAGGGUGCAAGCGUUAUCCGGAUUCACUGGGUUUAAAGGGUGCGUAGGCGGGUUGGUAAGUCCGGGGUGAAAUCCCCAAGCUUAACUUGGGAAGUGCCGUGGAUACUAUCAAUCUUGAAUAUCGUGGAGGUAAGCGGAAUAUGUCAUGUAGCGGUGAAAUGCUUAGAUAUGACAUAGAACACCAAUUGCGUAGGCAGCUUACUACACGAUCAUUGACGCUGAGGCACGAAAGCGUGGGGAGCAAACAGG